rnacentral:rRNA from 1 species
ACACUCCUGCGGGAGGCAGCAGUGGGGAAUAUUGCACAAUGGGCGCAAGCCUGAUGCAGCCAUGCCGCGUGUAUGAAGAAGGCCUUCGGGUUGUAAAGUACUUUCAGCGGGGAGGAAGGCGAUAAGGUUAAUAACCUUGUCGAUUGACGUUACCCGCAGAAGAAGCACCGGCUAACUCCGUGCCAGCAGCCGCGGUAAUACGGAGGGUGCAAGCGUUAAUCGGAAUUACUGGGCGUAAAGCGCACGCAGGCGGUCUGUCAAGUCGGAUGUGAAAUCCCCGGGCUCAACCUGGGAACUACAUGCGAAACUGGCAGGCUGGAGUCUUGUAGAGGGGGGUAGAAUUCCAGGUGUAGUGGUGAAAUGCGUAGAGAUCUGGAGGAAUACCGGUGGCGAAGGCGGCCCCCUGGACAAAGACUGACGCUCAGGUGCGAAAGCGUGGGGAGCAAACAGGAUUAGAAACCCCAGUAGUCCCAUG